rnacentral:lncRNA from 1 species
UUUUAAUAGCAUACUUACAGGAACAGCACAGCAGACAGACAACAUUAAAAACACGUACUUGCAUGUAGGACAACUCAGUUAGAAAAACAUAGUGAAUGGAUGGAAUCUACUGUGUGAUAAAAAUGCUACAAACACCAUUUAGUUGCUGUCAAUAAGAAAUUUACUUGUUUUUAAAAAAAUGCUAAUGCUGGCAUUGUCUAGAAAAAUUUAACAGGUUUAUUUAUAAUUAUUAUAAAGUUGAACUGCUGAAACCUGUUCACUGAAACAUUUUAACUUGCAUUAAUGCUUUACAUCUCCACAUUUAUAUUAAAAAUUUACACACAAAUGAAAAUUGAAAAAAUGCCAUUACCUGAUUUCUAUCCCCUAUUUUUCCACUUGCAAUCAUACACUUAGGUAUCUUUUGACCCCAUGGAAAAAAAUAUCUAACCUUCAUAACCACCAAUAACAGGAAGAAGAGAAUUUUUUUCUUUUUCUUUUUUUUUUUCUUUUUUUCUGAGAUGGAGUCUCACCUAUCGCCCAGGCUGGAGUGCAGUGGCACGAUCUCGGCUCACUGCAAGCUCCACCUCCUGGGUUCACACCAUUCUCCCGCCU